AGCCACUUACACUCGACAGUUUCAUCCACGUCCGUGCCUGUGAUCGAGAAGGGGAAGCCGGGAUCUCGCUAGAUGUUUGUUUUGAUGCCACUAUCAACUCCAGAUAAAAUAGGCGUAUGAAAAACCGACAGCCUAAAUUCGGACAAGCAGUCAGUCUCUAUCCAACUUCCCUAUUUUAAGUGCUCAUCAGCUCCUACACCAGCGUGAUCACAUUUACGCGUUUGUACUUAUGAACUUUAAACAAUUAUAGAAGUAGCUCUUGUCUAGCUCGUGGUGCCGCGCGCAGUCAACUCCCUCCUGAACGUAGCUCUCUUUGCAUCGCAUCAAUCAGUACGAACUUUGACUGAAUUUCAGCCGAAAAGUCUUAGCUUUCAUUAAGAUUCAAAAUAGUGGCCGCAUCUCGAAGAAUAAAAUUAAAAAAGAAACGCAUCGAAGACCCUCGCUUGGCACCAGCUGCAACGGCCGAAAAAAAGACAUACAUUGAGAAGAGGCGGCUCUGACCGAACGGGAAACUUUGGAAGUGGAUCAUGUCUUGUUGCGCGAGGAAAGGGUGCCCGCCACAAACCCGACAGCCGACCAAACGAUCCAUCCUCAUGUGCCGUCCGACUUUCUUCACGGUUGCCUACGCGAUCAACCCCUACAUGAACACGGACACCCCGGUGGACCAGGCGAAGGCAGUGGCGCAGUGGCAGACACUCUACGACACCUACGAACAGCUCGGAUUCGACCUCCACCUCAUAGACCCGCUACCCGGGCUGCCCGACAUGGUCUUCGCCGCCAACGGGGGCUUCGUCCUCGAUGGCAUCGCCUACGGCGCCAAGUUCCGCCACCCGGAGCGCCAGCCCGAGGGACCCGCCUACAUGAACUGGUUCCGCAAUUUCGGUCUUAAAGUCGUCGAGCCGGAGUUCACGAACGAAGGCAUGGGUGACUUCACCCUCGUCGGCAACGUCAUCCUUGCAGGGACCGGUUUCCGAGCCGACGUCCGCUCCCACGAAGAACUCAGGCGCGUCUUCAAACGGGAAGUGGUGACUUUGAAGCUGGUCAACCCUCGCUAUUACCACCUGGACGUGGCGCUCACCGUUCUGGACCCGGUGCCGGUUGACCCGUCGUCGCCCUGCGUCGCUUACCUAGAGUCUGCCUUCGACGAAGCAUCCUUGGCCACUCUGAGGAACCGCUUCCCAAACGCCAUUAUCGCCAGUGAGGAAGACGCUGCCUUGCUCGCACUCAACUCGUAUAGUGAUGGCUACAACGUUGUCUAUCCCUCGAAAGCUACCAACUUCGCCAGGCAACUCAAGGAGCACGGAUACAAUCCGAUCGGCGUGGACUUGUCCGAGCUUUUCUUGGGCGGUGGCUCCAUCAGAUGCUGUACUCUGGACCUACAUCCUGUCGGAACCGGCACCUCCGUUGCUCGCGCCUCUUAAUCCAGUAAUUUAUUCUAAGAGGCCCUUUACACGUUCAAAAAGUUACCUAUCUAAUAAUCCUCUUAUUAUCAGUGAGCUGAAAUAAUGUAUCGAUAAACAAGGUCUUUGCUGACAUGAACGUCCUCAUAGUUCGUAUGUGGAAAGGCUGUCUGGAGAACUACCUUAUAGGAACACUGCCUAUUUAUCUAUUUUCUUUGUUCUUCCUCUUACUCCGUUCUUCCUACUCUACAAGGUUCCCGGGACCCAGGUUAAAGUUAUAAGGUUACAUUUUGUACAUUCUCAUAUUGCUUAAGCUUAUUUUAUUAUGUUAAAAAAUUGUAUUAUUUUGACAAUUAAACUAAGUAUUAUGACCCACUACCAUAAAAA